UGCCCUCUUAUUCAUGUGAGAAAUAUUUUUAUAUAAUUUUUUUUGUACUUAGAAGUCUUUUCUAUAUCCUCAUCUGAUUCUUUUUGAACUAGAAAUUGGUUGGUUUAUAUUUGAGUUCAAAUGAGUUUGAAUUUGAAUGAAAACCUAGAGUCCAAAUUGUGUUGGACUCUCCUCUUCACGCCACCACCUUUCUCCAUGC
rnacentral:lncRNA from 1 species